GCCUGAAGGUUGCUGGGACAAGAGAAACAACCCUCAUCCUUGGCUGAAUAUCAAACAAAAUGAACAAGUUAAGCUUUACAGUCACACCGACUACUCAAAGCUUGGAGACGACAAAGAAGCCUGAGGAUUGAAAGUAGGAAUAAAAGUCCUUGGAAACUAUUAUCAAGAUGAUAUGGAAAUUAAACACAGCCAAGAGUUAAUUUGGGUUAGAACUUGUGAAGAAAGGCUUAUAAUUUACCUUAAGAAUUAGAUGUUAUUAUAAAUUACAAAAGUUUAUAAAUUAAGUCAAGAAGUAUUUGCAGUAUUAUUUAA